rnacentral:lncRNA from 1 species
GUAGAGACAAUUUUUUGACAAAGUUUAUUAAGAAUCUAGAAUACACAUACCUUUCUUUUUUCACACAGAACAAACUACAGUGCGCCAGUGCCGACUGCUGAGCAUGAACAAAUUCUUCGGCACAUCAAAUUCGAUUCCUUUUGUGAGACGCCUGCAUCGACAAGAAGUCCUCUACUGCGCCUUUCAGCCAGUACGUAAAGUCAACGUAACAGUAGGUGAAGCUUCACCUUCCUGCUGCUGUCUCAGAGAUCUAUCGUGAGAGAGGAGGAAGAAGAAAAAGAGGAGCAUCAAAUCAGUCGGCGAGAUAUGCUAGGUGCAGAAUCCAUUGAAAUUAUUGGCCAAGCUAUGAUAGCCCCGGACUCUCUUUCCCUGGGCAAUGCAUGCAGACAACCUACGUAUAGAGAUUAGAGAAGCAUGUGUGUGACAAGUUCAGAGGUCAGCAGCAAGUAUAGCAACCAGCUAAUAUUUCUGCCAAUUAACAAAUGAAUGAGAUAGCUGAACGUACGUACGGGAUGGAGCAUAUGAUG